rnacentral:snRNA from 1 species
GUAAACACGGCAAACUAUAGGUAAAUUUGAAUCCAGUUCAGAAGUUCUGCCGGCAACCUGCGCAAGGAUGACACGCAAAUUCGUGAAGCGUUCCAUAUUUUU